UGGUUGUGUUCUGUGCAUCACAGGUACAUCUUGACUUGAACCAUGAGCACAACAGGUUGAUUUGCUGAAUUGACUUAAAUCUUUAUCAUCAUCCUUUUGCUUCCCUUUCUCAUCUGAUGUUUCCUUAGUAAUUCAUCUGUUUGCGUGUGUUAUUCUUUUUCUCUCUCUAAACCGUCCUACUCACAUCAGCUUGUAGGGAACUGUCAAUAUGUAUUAAUCACUUAUCAUUCAUUAUGAUUUUAGUUUUUAGGAUGACUAUAAUAUUUUUUUCCUGGAAUAUUAAGCAUUUCUGAACCUCAAUUCUACAAAUAUUCUCUUAUAAUUGAUGAAUUCUUCUUGCAUGUGAAUAAUUUCUGUUGAUUCCCCAUUGGACAAAAGUUUCUUAGAAAGCGUUAUUCCCACCAAAAUUAUAUCUUCAACUGGUCUGUAUGUGCUUUGAAGCUGGCUUGCAAUUCAAUCUAAAAGCGGAGGAGCCACAAGCAUAUACAUCUUAAUGAUCUGGUUUUGGUUAAAGCAUGUUCCGGAAACAAAAAAAGGUUCUGGGUAAAGCGGUGAUAAACUUUAGUUGAUUUUUGUUUGAAGUUGUCAGCAACUUUGCUCUAACAUUGGAAUCUCUUGAUCCUUAGCAUGCUUUCCAGUUUUCGGUGUCUUUUAGUUUAUUGCUUCACUUUCAUGUGGGAGUUUUGCAGGAGCUUAGUGGUUUAUGUCAUGCAUUAUAGCAUGAGUUAGAUUGACUUAAUGAUUUGCUAUAAUCAAUUACUGGGUAUUGCACGUAGUAAUUGAUAAGAUGCAUUCAUCUGUUUCUCUGAUAUUAAUGAGAAAUA
rnacentral:misc_RNA from 1 species